rnacentral:rRNA from 1 species
UACGUAGGGGGCAAGCGUUGUCCGGAUUUAUUGGGUUUAAAGGGUGCGUAGGUGGUCAAUUAAGUCAGUGCUGAAAUAUCCUGGCUUAACCGGGAGGGUGGCAUUGAUACUGAUUGACUUGAGUAGAGUUGAGGUAGGCGGAAUUGACGGUGUAGCGGUGAAAUGCGUAGAUAUCGUCAAGAACACCGAUAGCGAAGGCAGCUUACUAAGCUCAAACUGACACUGAUGCACGAAAGUGUGGGGAUCAAACAGG